CUACGUAGGGGGCGAGCGUUGUCCGGAAUGAUUGGGCGUAAAGGGCGCGUAGGCGGCCCGGUAAGUCUGGAGUGAAAGUCCUGUUUUUAAGAUGGGAAUUGCUUUGGAUACUGUCGUGCUUGAGUGCAGGAGAGGUAAGUGGAAUUCCCAGCGUAGCGGUGAAAUGCGUAGAGAUUGGGAGGAACACCAGUGGCGAAGGCGACUUACUGGACUGUAACUGACGCUGAGGCGCGAAAGUGUGGGGAGCAAACAGGAUUAGAUACCCUGGUAGUCCACACUGUAAACGAUGAAUGCUAGGUGUAGGGGGUAUCGACCCCUUCUGUGCCGCAGUCAACACAAUAAGCAUUCCGCCUGGGGAGUACGGCCGCAAGGUUGAAACUCAAAUGAAUUGGCGGGG
rnacentral:rRNA from 1 species